UAGAUAGAUAACCAGUUUCAUCUCUUAAUGAAUGCAAAUUUACACACCGUGUUAAUUAAGUUAAACACUGCUCGCUUACUUUUCCUUAUCAUAUGCGUG